GACGAACGCUGGCGGCGUGCUUAACACAUGCAAGUCGAACGGAAAGGCCCUGCUUUUGUGGGGUGCUCGAUUGGCGAACGGGUGAGUAACACGUGAGUAACCUGCCCUUGACUUUGGGAUAACUUCAGGAAACUGGGGCUAAUACCGGAUAGGAGCUCCUGCUGCAUGGUGGGGGUUGGAAAGUUUCGGCGGUUGGGGAUGGACUCGCGGCUUAUCAGCUUGUUGGUGGGGUAGUGGCUUACCAAGGCUUUGACGGGUAGCCGGCCUGAGAGGGUGACCGGCCACAUGGGGACUGAGAUAGGGCCCAGACUCGUACGGGAGGCAGCAGGGGGGAAUAUUGCACAAUGGGCGGAAGCCUGAUGCAGCAACGCCGCGUGCGGGAUGACGGCCUUCGGGUUGUAAACCGCUUUCGCCGGUGACGAAGCGUGAGUGACGGUAAUGGGUAAAGAAGCACCGGCUAACUACGUG
rnacentral:rRNA from 1 species